UGGGGAAUAUUGCGCAAUGGGCGAAAGCCUGACGCAGCAACGCCGCGUGAGUGAUGAAGGCCUUCGGGUCGUAAAGCUCUUUUGGCGGGGAAGAUAAUGACGGUACCCGCAGAAUAAGCUCCGGCUAACUUCGUGCCAGCAGCCGCGGUAAUACGAAGGGAGCUAGCGUUGUUCGGAAUCACUGGGCGUAAAGCGCACGUAGGUGGGCAGUUAAGUCAGGGGUGAAAGCCCGAGGCUCAACCUCGGAAUUGCCUCUGAUACUGGCUGUCUAGAGUCCGAGAGAGGUGGGUGGAAUUCCUAGUGUAGAGGUGAAAUUCGUAGAUAUUAGGAAGAACACCGGUGGCGAAGGCGGCCCACUGGCUCGGUACUGACACUGAGGUGCGAAAGCGUGGGGAGCAAACAGGAUUAGAUACCCACGUAGUCCCUGAGCGGGCUGGCAAGGCGCAU
rnacentral:rRNA from 1 species